UACGAACUGUGCAAACGUUAUUCGGAAUCACUGGGCUUAAAGGGUGCGUAGGCGGCCGUUUAAGUAGGGUGUGAAAGCCUGGAGCUCAACUCCAGAAUUGCGCCCUAAACUGGACGGCUCGAGUGAGAUAGGGGUGUGUGGAACUUCCGGUGGAGCGGUGAAAUGUGUUGAUAUCGGAAGGAACGCCGGUGGCGAAAGCGACACACUGGGUCUCAACUGACGCUGAGGCACGAAAGCCAGGGUAGCGAAC
rnacentral:rRNA from 1 species